rnacentral:misc_RNA from 1 species
UGGCUCUCGCAUCGAUGAAGAACGCAGCGAAAUGCGAUAAGUAAUGUGAAUUGCAGAAUUCAGUGAAUCAUCGAAUCUUUGAACGCACCUUGCGCUCCUUGGUAUUCCGAGGAGCAUGCCUGUUUGAGUGUCUUGAAGUCAUCAACCCCUCCCGUUUCGUGCGGAGAGGUGUGUUGGAGCUGGGGGCGUGCGGUCGUGAGGCCGCUCCCUUCAAAUGCUUCGGUAGGGCCUGUGGGUCGAACCCGGUCGGGCGUUGUAACAACCUCGCUCUGCUUACGGGAAGUUCCCCUCUUGCGCCCUCCCUCGACCGCCUGUGGAGCGGCGGUCAACGACACUUGAAAUCUGACCUCAAAUCAGGUAGGACUACCCGCUGA